CCCAGCUCCCGGCCUGCAAGACGAGGACGAGCAGAAGUUGCAGAGCCAUGCUGCUCAGGGGUGACUCGGGGUGCGGCCUUGAGAGAAUGCGGGCGUGUAGCCCGCAGCCCAAGCGUCGCGUCACUUCCGGACCAGGGCCCAUGAUACAGCAGUGACCUCGCAACCAUGAGACAACAUGAUCGAGGAUAAGAAGCCAACAGCUAAAAAUGGAAGAAUAGAAAAGUAGAAAGCUUGAGAAGCCAAUGUAAGCAUUGAGCAGCUGAACCAAUGUCUGCAACCAUCUACCUCUGGACUCUUGUUAUAGGGGAAAAAAUAAAGCCCUACUGAUUUAAGCUA